GUGGGUAAAAGUACUUGCUGUACCAAUAUGGCCGCUCACGUCUCAUCCUGGAAAUCCACGUGAAAGUGCAAGGGGAGAGCUGACUCCACAAAGCUGCCUUGUGACCUCUGACUUUCAUAUGCCUUCUGUGGCACGUGUCCUCAUAUCCCACGUACAUAUCACCAACAAGCGUGCGUGCGUGCAGCGCGCGCACGCGCACACACACACACCCACACCCACAGCAGGUCCCUGUCUACUACACAUCCUUCAGUAAUAACUCCCGAGAAUCUCGGCAGAGCUAUUUUCACCCCGGCCAUCCUUGGUUCUGGUUGCUCACCGCAGUGUAAACCCCACCUCGGGCCCUAACCGGAUGUUAUGACUCCUGCCUUUGUGGGCACCCAGUUUUACCCUCUCUCACGGGUGGAUGGAUUCGUGGAUUCUAAAUGUGUCGCAGUGCUGGCUGACAACCUGGAGGACAUGAAAAGAUGCUAAAGAAUCUGCCUUGGAAAUUCCUUUUCUACCACGGACCCACUAGUGAAAUGACGACCCUGAGCCAGCCCAGAUCAGGCAGUGCCACAGACUGUCCGAGGUGCUGUUGCUAGGGUCCAUUCAGGAGGACCUGACACCAUCGCCCUCUCAGCACCACCAAUCUUACUGAAACGUUUCAGACGCCUUUGGAUUUAUGGGAAGGAGCAAGCUGUUACAAAGACAACAGUUUUCUUGAAAUCAGCCUCAAUCAAGUGGAGAAAGGGUAGCUGUAAAAAUCGGCCAAGAUAAGAAUUCUCUCCGAAAUAAACGUUUGUUUUAGAAUCGGGGUGGGGUGGGGCGUGGGGGUCGGGUGACGCACUCUUCUGUGAAUGGAUGGCUGCUUUCUGACCCUCGGAAGAUGAAUGGUUCAUUUUGUAAAGCACAGCAAGUGUAAAAACCUACUUUCUACCUCCGUUCAUUUCAGAGUGCGGCUGCAGUGUGGAGCCCGCGAUGCCUGCCUGGGUCGUUCCCAAUCACCAGCAAAACCUACAAUGGGCUGACCCGCUACCUGCAGCUGUUUUCAAUCAGAAAGCAGAGCCAUUAUCAGCCUCUCCCGGGGCUCACAUGCAGGAUCACAUGAAGCCAAGGGAACAUUAAGGAUGUUUGAACCAGCUCCCAGAAAUCUACAGUGUUCGCCUGCCAACCGCUCGUCUUCACCUUGGCUGGGCAUCAUUAACUCGGUUCGGUAUUCAUUCGACAAUCAAAAAAAAAAAAAAUCUACAUUCUUCCUGGAUGAAUGGCGAUGUUCUCCGAUCUAGGUACACUGUCACAAUGACUGCACUACACGGGAAAUGUCAGUGUAUUUCUAUAUUCUUCAGCCUAUUUUUCAAUACUUGGUCUCGUGGAAGACGGGGAAGCUCCACUCUGAAAUCCCGAGCCCUGUGGUGUGUGAAGGGAAGGGACAUUUCCUGGUUCUGCUCUCCUCUACCAGCAAUGUUGCCGAUUCCAGGACAGAGGCUGUAUGCAGUUAAAGAGCUGGGGACUCACUUCAGUCCGUCACAUGUGUGAGCACUCACGGUCUCUCAAGGGAUUCCCAUUAGACUGAAAGGGAGAAGGCCUUUGUGUCCACAGAGAAUAAUUUUGCUUUCUUUCUCCCUCCCUCUCUCCCUCCUUUCCUCGCUUCCUGUCUUCUUUUCUUGUUCCCUCAUUCCUUCCCUCCCUCUCUCCCUUCUUCUCUUUUUCACUACCACACUUUUUUGAGACUGAGACAGGGUCUUACUCUGAAGCCCAAGCUUGACUUGAAUUUGUAACACCCGUGAAGCCCCAGGUUUAACCCCCCACACUGUAAAGGGGGGCAUGUGGUACUACACAGCUGUUAGCCCAGCACGAGGGAGGGGGAGACUGGAAGACCAGAAGUUCAGAGUCAUUCUCAACCACAUAGGGAAUUUGAGGUUAACCUGGGUAAGAGAUUCUGUCUUUAAAAAAAAUAAAAUCACCAUGGAAACACAUCAA